rnacentral:rRNA from 1 species
ACGCUCGACACCUACGGGAGGCAGCAGUGGGGAAUAUUGCACAAUGGGGGAAACCCGUGAUGCAGCGACGCCGCGUGAGCGAAGAAGUAUUUCGGUAUGUAAAGCUCUAUCAGCAGGGAAGAAACUGACGGUACCUGACUAAGAAGCACCGGCUAAAUACGUGUCAGCAGCCGCGGUAAUCUGAGCGGGCUGGCAAGGC